rnacentral:rRNA from 1 species
AUUGAACGCUGGCGGCAUGCCUAACACAUGCAAGUCGAGCGGAGCGGCGGACGGGUGAGUAAUACCUAGGAAUCUGCCUGGUAGUGGGGGAUAACGUCCGGCAACGGGCGCUAAUACCGCAUACUAUCAGAUGAGCCUAGGUCGGAUUCGCUAGUUGGUGGGGUAAAGGCCUACCAAGGCGAGGGUCGGUAACGGGUCUGAGAGGAUGAUCAGCACCAAUGGAACUGAGACACGGCCCAGAUUCCAAGGGGAGGCAGCAUUGGGGAAUAUUGGACAAUGGGCGAAAGCCGGAUCCAGCCAUGCCGGGUGUGUGAAGAAGGUCUUCGGAUUGUAAAGCACUUUAAGUUGGGAGGCGUUACCAACAGAAUAAGCACCGGCUAACUUCGUGCCAGCAGCCGCGGUAAUUC